rnacentral:sRNA from 1 species
UCAACGACAAAGGCAGACCAAGAGC